CAUCCAGGCUACUCAGGAUGGCCCCCGCUCCAAAAGGAGGUUUUCCAGAGUCCCAGGGAUCAGGGCCCAUGGCUGCAGGGGCUCUGAAGAAGCGGAGAUUUCUGCAUCGAAUGCAGAGCACUGGCCAUCUGUCUUGACCCUACGUUUUAGGAGGAAUUCUGUGGGCUGUUUUGUAAACUGCAGAGAUAAUGCUGCGUCAUGGAAACCUGUGUGGGCAAGAUUUCCAGGCAGAGACGGUAUUUAUUCUUGUUACGUGGGCAGAAGGUCAACAAAAAUGAAAGUGCCUCCAGAGCCUGAGCACCCAGGGGAGGGUAAGGUAGGAGAGGCGGCAAGUUCAACCACAAUGCCAAAAAAUCUGCCCAUGAGCAGAGGGAGAAAAACUUGGUUACCUCCUUGUCCCAGAUCUUCUGCUGGGCAUUUCAGUGCAUGAUCUCAUAUCAGCCGCAUGACUCUUGCAGGCAUUGUUAUCACUGGUUUUUGCUGCCGUUUUAGCUCAGGGGAGAGAGGGUAAAUCGCUUCCCCAGCUACACACAGUGAGAGAGAAGCGAAAAUUUGAACCCGACUCCAGCCGUGCUUUUCCUGAUGUGCCUUGCUCUCUGCGCCGGGGAAGGGGAAGGACAGCAGUGCCCUUGUCUUGAAGGGGCCCGGCUCUGUCUGGUUUUCCUUCCUUUGGACGAAGAAGGAGCUGAACAGAAGUUACUCAGCUUGUGAUUCGUUCCAGGAUAUGACAUGGAUUUGCUCUUGACCUCUGGAAAACAUUUCUAAAUUCCUCUAUGUGAUAGAAAUGGACGGCAAAGCAGGAGUUAUAUCAUUAAUCGUGGAUCCUUCUGGUAAGAAAGAGUGCAAGAAAAAACAGACAGAAAAGCAUGCCAGCUACAGCAGCUGUAUAACAGCUGAAGAAACUGAGGUACAGCAUGCUUACCCUGAUCAGCUACACUGGGCCUUGGGCUUCCUGGCACUCAGAGAUUUCCGGCUUCCAGAAAUCAGCGAUAAAGAAUGGCAAAAGCCCGUCUUUGGGCUACAGGUAAUCUAAUUGCAUUUCUACUGGCAAGCCAUGUUCUUGUUUCUUCUUACCUCUUCCAGAAACAAGAAAAGAAAUUGAUGCUCUCCACUGAUUCAUGGUAUGUAUAGCCUGGCGGUAAAAUUUGCUCAGCAAAUACAGUCACAGGUUCUGGCUUUUCUGUAAAACAGACUCACUAUUUAGAUAAAAUAGGUCAUGGAGACCAUUUGACCAAUAACCACUUAAUUCUCUUAUUAACAU
rnacentral:lncRNA from 1 species